GGUUGACCUCGGAUCAGGUAGGGAUACCCGCUGAACUUAAGCAUAUCAAUAAGCGGAGGAAAAGAAACCAACAGGGAUUGCCUC
rnacentral:rRNA from 1 species